UGAACGCUGGCGGCGUGCCUAAUACAUGCAAGUCGAGCGAACAGACGAGGAGCUUGCUCCUCUGACGUUAGCGGCGGACGGGUGAGUAACACGUGGAUAACCUACCUAUAAGACUGGGAUAACUUCGGGAAACCGGAGCUAAUACCGGAUAAUAUAUUGAACCGCAUGGUUCAAUAGUGAAAGACGGUUUUGCUGUCACUUAUAGAUGGAUCCGCGCCGCAUUAGCUAGUUGGUAAGGUAACGGCUUACCAAGGCGACGAUGCGUAGCCGACCUGAGAGGGUGGUCGGCCACACUGGAACUGAGACACGGUCCAGACUCCUACGGGAGGCAGCAGUAGGGAAUCUUCCGCAAUGGGCGAAAGCCUGACGGAGCAACGCCGCGUGAGUGAUGAAGGUCUUCGGAUCGUAAAACUCUGUUAUUAGGGAAGAACAAAUGUGUAAGUAACUAUGCACGUCUUGACGGUACCUAAUCAGAAAGCCACGGCUAACUACGUG
rnacentral:rRNA from 1 species